rnacentral:rRNA from 1 species
GUUUGAUCCUGGCUCAGAUUGAACGCUGGCGGUAUGCUUUACACAUGCAAGUCGAACGGCAGCACGGGGCAACCUGGUGGCGAGUGGCGAACGGGUGAGUAACAUAUCGGAACAUGUCCGGAAGUGGGGGAUAACGUAGCGAAAGUUACGCUAAUACCGCAUAUGCCCUGAGGGGGAAAGGGGGGGAUCGCAAGACCUCUCGCUUUCGGAGUGGCCGAUAUCGGAUUAGCUAGUAGGUGAGGUAAAGGCUCACCUAGGCGACGAUCCGUAGCUGGUCUGAGAGGACGACCAGCCACACUGGAACUGAGACACGGUCCAGACUCCUACGGGAGGCAGCAGUGGGGAAUUUUGGACAAUGGGGGCAACCCUGAUCCAGCCAUACCGCGUGAGUGAAGAAGGCCUUCGGGUUGUAAAGCUCUUUCGGCAGGAAAGAAAUCGUGCAGGCUAAUAUCCUGUAUGGAUGACGGUACCUGAAGAAGAAGCACCGGCUAACUACGUGCCAGCAGCCGCGGUAAUACGUAGGGUGCGAGCGUUAAUCGGAAUUACUGGGCGUAAAGCGUGCGCAGGCGGCUUUGGCAAGACAGACGUGAAAUCCCCGGGCUUAACCUGGGAACUGCGUUUGUGACUACAGGGCUAGAGUGUAGCAGAGGGGGGUAGAAUUCCACGUGUAGCAGUGAAAUGCGUAGAGAUGUGGAGGAAUACGAUGGGCGAAGGCAGCCCCCUGGGCUAACACUGACGCUCAUGCACGAAAGCGUGGGGAGCAAACAGGAUUAGAUACCCUGGUAGUCCACGCCCUAAACGAUGUCAACUAGGUGUUGGGGAAGGAGACUUCUUUAGUACCGCAGCUAACGCGUGAAGUUGACCGCCUGGGGAGUACGGUCGCAAGAUUAAAACUCAAAGGAAUUGACGGGGACCCGCACAAGCGGUGGAUUAUGUGGAUUAAUUCGAUGCAACGCGAAAAACCUUACCUACCCUUGACAUGCCAGGAACCCUGCUGAGAGGCGGGGGUGCCCGAAAGGGAACCUGGACACAGGUGCUGCAUGGCUGUCGUCAGCUCGUGUCGUGAGAUGUUGGGUUAAGUCCCGCAACGAGCGCAACCCUCGCCCUUAGUUGCCAUCAUUCAGUUGGGCACUCUAGGGGGACUGCCGGUGAUAAGCCGGAGGAAGGUGGGGAUGACGUCAAGUCCUCAUGGCCCUUACGGGCUGGGCUACACACGUGCUACAAUGGCGGUGACAGUGGGCAGCAAGGCAGCAAUGCCAAGCUAAUCUCAAAAAGCCGUCUCAGUUCGGAUUGAGGUCUGCAACUCGACCUCAUGAAGUUGGAAUCGCUAGUAAUCGCGGAUCAGAACGCCGCGGUGAAUACGUUCCCGGGCCUUGUACACACCGCCCGUCACACCAUGGGAGUUGGUUUUACCCGAAGGCGAUGCGCUAACCGCAAGGGGGCAGUCGACCACGGUAGGGUCAGCGACUGGGGUGAAGUCGUAACAAGGUAGCCGUA